UGAAUACGAGACGCUAAGGCGUCGAGGUAGUGUAUGUCAUACUUCCAAGAAAAGCUUGCACUGUCAUAGAUAAAAAACGCCUGUACCAUAACCGACACAGGUGGGUAGGUAGAGUAUACUAAGGGGCGCGAGAUAACUCUCUCUAAGGAACUCGGCAAAAUAACUCCGUAACUUCGGGAGAAGGAGUGCCUUAUUCGUAAGGUUGCAAUAACAAGAUCCAAGCAACUGUUUAUCAAAAGCACAGGUCUCCGCUAAGUCGUAAGACGAUGUAUGGGGGCUGACGCCUGCCCAGUGCCGGAAGGUUAAAGAAGUUGGUUAGCAAUUGCGAAGCUGAUAACUGAAGCCCUGGUGAACGGCGGCCGUAACAAUAACGGUCCUAAGGUAGCGAAAUUCCUUGUCGGGUAAGUUCCGACCCGCACGAAAGGCGUAAUGAUUUGGAUACUGUCUCGGAGAGGGGCUCGGUGAAAUAGACUUGUCUGUGAAGAUGCGGACUACCUGCACCAGGACAGAAAGACCCUAUGAAGCUUUACUGUAACUUGAAAUUGAAAUUGGACUUUAUUCGCGCAGUAUAGGUGGGAGGCGUUGAUUAUAAUCUUGUGGGAUUAUUGGAGCCAUCAGUGAGAUACCACUCUUGUAAUGUUAGGUUUCUAACUUUGAAUCAUUAUCUGGUCAAAGAACAGUUUCAGGCGGGCAGUUUGACUGGGGCGGUCGCCUCCUAGACGGUAACGGAGGCGUACAAAGGUUUCCUCUGAACGGUUAGAAAUCGUAUCUAGAGUGUAAAGGCAUAAGGAAGCUUGACUGUGAGACCUACAAGUCGAGCAGGGACGAAAGUCGGUCUUAGUGAUCUGACGGUACUGAGUGGAAAGGCCGUCACUCAACGGAUAAAAGUUACUCUAGGAUAACAGGCUGAUCUCCCCCAAGAGUUCACAUCGACGGGGAGGUUUGGCACCUCGAUGUCGGCUCAUCGCAUCCUGGGGCGGUAGUACGUCCCAAGGGUUGGGCUGUUCGCCCAUGAAAGCGGUACGCGAGCUGGGUUCAGAACGUCGUGAGACAGUUCGGUCCAUAUCCGGUGUAGGCGUUAGAAUAUUGAGAGGAGCCUUCUUUAGUACGAGAGGACCGAGAAGGACAUACCUCUGGUGUACCAGUUAUCGUGCCAACGGUAAACGCUGGGUAGCUAUGUAUGGAGUGGAUAACCGCUGAAAGCAUCUAAGUGGGAAGCCCACCUCAAGAUAAGUAUUCGC
rnacentral:rRNA from 1 species